GACGAACGCUGGCGGCGUGCUUAACACAUGCAAGUCGAACGAUGGUCUCCCGCGUUCGGGGGUGAUUUGUUGCGAACGGGUGAGUAAUACGUGAGUAAACUGCCCUUGUCUCUGGGAUAAGCCUGGUAAACAGGGUGGAAUACUUGAUACUACUUCCUGCCACCUGGAUGGGGGUGGAGAGGGUGUUACUGUUGAUGGAUGAGUUCGCGGCCUAUCAGCUUGUUGGGGGAGUAAUGAAUGACCCAGGCGACGACGGGUACCCGGCCUCAGAGGCUGACCCGCCACCCUGAGUCUGAGACACGGCACAGACACCUACGCGACGCAGCAGUGCGGAAUCCUGCCCAAUCGGCGGCAGCUUGAUGCAGCGAGGCCGCGUGUCGGAUGACGCUCUUAGGGUUGUAGACCUCUUGCAGAAGGAACGAAGCACAACGUGACGGUACCUGAACAAAAAGCCCCGGCUAACUACGUG
rnacentral:rRNA from 1 species